AAAACACAAAAAAACUGUUUUUAAAAAAUCAUAGCUUCCACUGUUGCCACCACCGUGCUAUGUAGCUGGUUAAAGAACACGUACGUGGGGCAGACCCCGGGGCCCAGCGCCCUCAGCCUGUGGCCGCGGGAUCUCCAGAUGAAUCGCUUCCCGAUGCCAACAAUUCCUACAAAGCAGCGCAAGGGCGAGUGCUGCUGUGCCUUGCCCAGGGGCACGAGUAAGCACUGAAGCUCCGACCCAAGGGCACGGCGACUGCUCUGUGAAAAGCCUUUCCUUCCCUGCAGACCCAGAACGCGGGCAAAGCUUGGCUUCGUUCACUGUCCACGCAGAGGGUAAAGCGGGGUAGGGGCAGUCCUUUUGCUGGGCCCCGUGUUAGGAGCAACAGGAAGACUCUGACCUGGUCGAGAAUAAGGCCGGCAGAGGCCAGGGCAGAAUGGGGAGAACGGUGAUGUUUGCACAGUGGGUAUAAUAAACACUCGCCGAAUGAACUCAGGUUAUGUUUGCUUGCCAGGGAGGAAGUAGACAAAUAAAUCCCUCCUACAGGUUACAAUGGGGAACAGGACUUGGUUCACUUGUUCCUGGGGCAUUUGGACAUCAACCAACGAGGAGUAAGAAGAGAAAGGUCCCUGCCUGGGAUGUCCGGGUCGGCCUCUGCGAACGAGGUUUACGCAAUGCCAGGAGAGCAGAGCUGUGGGCCAACUCGCAGCAGCAGGUCUGAAGGGAGCGCCCGCCCACAGUCGGAGCCGCCGCGCUCCGAGAGGGCCAUGCCCCAAGCGGUGAUGCAGUAUCCCGCAUCCAUUCGGAGGCCACAGUUUGGAAGAGAAAGGGAAGAGCUGUGACCUCAUUCCCAGCCUGGGCUCACUGUUGGGAACAGUGUGUGCAGACGCAGGGGUGCCCAGGAGCACACCUCUGAGGAUCCGAAAUGGAACGGGCACCCACAGCGGGGGGCAGGUGUCAGCUGCCGGCUGGCCUGGAGCCCAUCUCCCCAGAGACACCCCGCACGGUGCAGGGGACCCAUCAGCCUCCCCGUGGGGAUGGAGUUGGGGCUGUGAUUCAUCGAGAAUGUUGGGCAAGAACAGGGCCAGAAAGGCAGGACUGGCCCCGGGGGACAGGACCUGUUCCGUCCCUGUAGGAUAUUACAGUCGGAGCGCCUGAUUCUGUACUGGGAGGCAGGGCAGGUGGAGAUUCCUAACCACUCACCAAACAGAUUUCUUCUUCCUCCAGGGUGUGGAGCUAGACUAAAUGUACAGUUGGGGGGCCAUGUGCCCAAGUUCCAGUCUUCGGGUCAGCAGAGGUGAUGUGUACAAUUUCCAGCCUAGCUCAUGACAACCUCACACCCAGGGGAUCCACCACGUCUGUCCCCUCCUGCCAUCUGGAGCAGCCACCCAGGGUGAUCACCGAUGCCAUGUGCUAACGGUGGUGGUGAGCCUCUCGGCCGGGCUGCCCGUCAACUGCCGUGGAACCACGUAGCAGUAGACAAAGCGGACACGGGGACAGAAAAGGCCUACUUCCUUAUCGGGCACAGCGCCCAGGGCCGGUGAUGCCGUUAGGAGCCAGCAAAAUGCUUUCAUUUCUUCUAAAAUUCAGAAGAAUAAAUGGAGAAAGCCAGAGAGAGGACAGGCAGCAAGCCAGCUGUGGCUUCCGCAAGGGCAGUGUCUCUGGCGCCGUGUCCAUGCCGCCAGCCCGCCGGCCUCUGCAGCCUGUGUUGGAGAUAAGCUGUGACACAUGGGCAGAACUCAGAUUUAAUCCUAAAUUUGAGGUUGCAGUGAGCUAUGAUGACGCCUCUUCACUCUAGCCAGGGCGACAGAACGAGACUGUCUCAAAA